GUUGAUGUGUCUCAGUGGUAGAGUGCCUGCUUUGUGUGUAUGAUGUCCUGAGUUCAAUCCCCAGGUUGCUG
rnacentral:tRNA from 1 species